CCAGACAUUUGGCUGGGCUUGGAGGUGGGGGGAGUGCAGAGAGUGCCAAGCAGGCCUGCUUGGUGUCGGGCUGGUUUAGAAUGACCCCCGGAGAGGGAUUUUCUCAGUGUUACUGGAGGGUUUUUCUAUCUCUCUCCCCCUUUACACGAAAGCCGCCUGCUGAACCCAUCUGGCUCCAGUUUCCCAUCCCUGCUGGGCGGAGACCCAAGAAGGGAAAUGUUCAGUGCCUGAAAGAAAACUUUUCAUGCUUGUUGCCUGCCGGGAGGGAAGGGAGCGGGGCCGGGUGGGGCCACUGGCUCAGGGCCUAGAGAACAGCAGGUGUCCUUGUGAAGAGAUGUACCAACCCAGGCCUAACAGAAGAUAUACCAAUCUAGGCCGAACAGGAGAUGUACCAGCCCAGGCCUAACACAGAAAAGUACCAACUCAGGCCUAGCUGUACCAACCCAGGCCUAACAGGAGAUGUACCAACACAGGCCUAACAGGAGAUGUACCAGCCCAGGCCUAACAGAAGAUGUACCAACCCAGGCCUAACACAGAGAAGUACCAACUCAGGCCUAACUGUACCAACUCAGGCCUAACAGAAGAUGUACCAACACAGGCCUAACAGGAGAUGUACCAGCCCAGGCCUAACAGAAGAUGUACCAACCCAGGCCUAACACAGAGAAGUACCAACUCAGGCCUAACUGUACCAACUCAGGCCUAACAGAAGAUGUACCAACCCAGGCCUAACACAGAGAAGUACCAACUCAGGCCUAACUGUACCAACUCAGGCCUAAUAGAAGAUGUACCAACCCAGGCCUAACACAGAGAAGUACCAACUCAGGCCUAACUGUACCAACCCAGGCCUAACAGGAGAUGUACCAACACAGGCCUAACAGGAGAUGUACCAGCCCAGGCCUAUCAGAAGAUGUACCAACCCAGGCCUAACACAGAGAAGUACCAACUCAGGCCUAACUGUACCAACCCAGGCCUAACAGAAGAUGUACCAGCCCAGGCCUAACACAGAGAAGUACCAACUUGGGCCUAACUGUACCAACCCAGGCCUAACAGAAGAUGUACCAGCCCAGGCCUAACACAGAGAAGUACCAACUCAGGCCUAACUGUACCAACACAGGCCUAACAGGAGAUGUACCAGCCCAGGCCUAUCAGAAGAUGUACCAACCCAGGUCUAACAUUGAGAUGUAUCAGCCCAGGUUUAACACAGAAUUACCAAUUCAGGCCUAACUGUACCAACCCAGGCUUAACAAGAGAUGUACCAACCCAGGCUUAACAAGAGAUGUACCAGCCCAGACCUAACAGAAGAUGUACCAGCCCAGACCUAACAGAAGAUGUACCAAUCUAGGUCUAACAUUGAGAUGUACCAACCCAGGCCUAACACAGAGAAGUACCAACUCAGGCCUAACUGUACCAACCCAGGCCUAACAGGAGAUGUACCAGGCCAGGCCUAACACAGAGAAUUACUAACUCAGGUCUAACUGUACCAACCCAGGCCUAACAAGAGAUGUACCAACCCAGGCUUAACAAGAGAUGUACCAACCCAGGCUUAACAAGAGAUGUACCAGCCCAGACCUAACAGAAGAUGUACCAACCUAGGUCUAAUAUUGAGAUGUACCAACCCAGGCCUAACACAGAGAAGUACCAACUCAGGCCUAACUGUACCAACACAGGCCUAACAGGAGAUGUACCAGCCCAGGCCUAUCAGAAGAUGUACCAACCCAGGCCUAACACAGAGAAGUACCAACUCAGGCCUAACUGUACCAACCCAGGCCUAACAGGAGAUGUACCAGGCCAGGCCUAACACAGAGAAUUACUAACUCAGGUCUAACUGUACCAACCCAGGCCUAACAAGAGAUGUACCAACCCAGGCUUAACAAGAGAUGUACCAACCCAGGCUUAACAAGAGAUGUACCAGCCCAGACCUAACAGAAGAUGUACCAACCUAGGUCUAAUAUUGAGAUGUACCAACCCAGGCCUAACACAGAGAAGUACCAACUCAGGCCUAACAGAAGAUAUACCAACCCAGGCCUAACAAGAGAUGUACCAACCCAGGCUUAACAAGAGAUGUACCAACCCAGGCUUAACAAGAGAUGUACCAGCCCAGACCUAACAGAAGAUGUACCAACCUAGGUCUAAUAUUGAGAUGUACCAACCCAGGCCUAACACAGAGAAGUACCAACUCAGGCCUAACAGAAGAUAUACCAACCCAGGCCUAACACAGAGAAGUACCAACUCAGGCCUAACUGUACCAACCAGGCCUAACAGAAGAUAUACCAACCCAGGCCUAACAUAAAGAUGCACCAACUCAGGCCUAACACAAAGAAGUAUCAACCCAGGCCUAACUUGAAGAUGUACCAACCCAGUUCUAAUAGGAAAAAGCCUCCCACAAGAGUAGAAACAGUUGGAAAGUCUUCCAUAAAACCUUUUGUUUUGAUUCA